UAAGCUUGUUGGCUCCACUGUUGUUUGCAAAGCCCAGGACCACAUCUCCCACCCUUCUCUGUCCUCAAGGGCAAAACCCACUUCACAUAACCAGGCCCAUGUGGAUCCACACACUGAGAAUUCUAAAUGACUAUACAGAGCUGGCUUUCCCCCUCUUACUCUUAUGAAGAAUUCCUUUUCAUGCUUUAGAAAUAAGUAGUGGAGGACUUUGAUGCUCUGGUAUUUUGAACCAGCCAGGCUGUGAUAGCUCAAGUUGCCUAGUAACCAGCCGAAGACCAGCACCAGAGUGGAACCUAGAGAAGCCACAUUCCUUAAUAAUGAGAACAGCUGGGAACCAGCAGGUCUGGGGUCACGGUUGGGCUGGAUCCUCACUCCUUUGAGGAUGUGACUGACACAUCUUUUGUUAAGCUGCUCAAAUCCUCCAUCUGUAAAAUGGGCCUGACAUUUGACAGCAGGUCCCUCUGGCACAUAUUGUGAGGAUUAAUAAAGAAUCUAGAAAGCAGUAUGAAUCCUUCAGAAUAAAUGCACUUCGGAAAUAUGUCAGAUUUAUAAUAAUUUGGUGCUAGCACGAAGAUAAUGUUGGAAAGCAGGAUUAGCUAAAUCACCAAUUUCCGAGAUUCUAAGACAAAUACUUUAAUAUCAGUCUCUCUGCUUGCCUUAUAGCUGAGAUAACUGUUUAUACAGUUAUGUCAAGGACAAAAAGUAGUGAUAAAUGCAUUGAAAACUGAGGAAAAACGUGUCAAGGUAUUCAAAAGCAAUCUGAGUUAUGAUGUCUGAGGCCAAUCCGCAUAUGUGGGAUUUACUCAGCACUAAUUUGGCUAAUCUUUCUUAGAGGCGUCUCACUUCAAGGAGUAGAAACUCGAAAUACAAGGUGUAUAGCACCAUGAACAGAAUAUAAAAAUGGCUUCACUUGGCUUUCAGCCACCUCUCUUGAUGCCGAGGUGGAAUUCAAGGUCACCUGAGCCACCACUUACCUAGGGUGCAAGCCCCUCUCCCACUCCUGCAAUCUGAACAUUCGCUUUUUUCUCCUCACCACUACCCCAUGCAGCCCUUGCCUUUCCUCAUGCUGGUUUAUUUAUUUUCCCCCAAACACACUGAAUUCUUCAUAGUUACAAACAUAAAGGCUCACAAACUUCUGCCUUAAAAAUUUUUUUUCAUAAUUCUCUUGGAUGAUCUGAAACAAAAUUAUCCUGAAAACCCCCAGUUCAAUUCCUCUUUUGUAAAAUGGACUGUUUUAU
rnacentral:lncRNA from 1 species